CCCAGAAGUCGCUCCACCACAUGCCUCCUCCUUCGUUGUUCACGUACAAUGCUCCGGCUGCGGCAAUAAAUCGACCACCGUUAUUAUGUGGUUUAGCGGAAAAAAACAUGAUCUCUCGGUUGUUUAGAGACUUGAAAUCAGAAUCAGACAAGAGUGGAUACAAGAUUAGGUCAGUGGAGAGUCUAGAAUCAACAUCUGAACGGCAAAUCACAUGACCGGUUAACUGAUAUGCUUGUCUUUGAGAAGUAGCAUAACACAAAAAGCUGAUUCUUCAAAGUCCAAUACAAUGUGGUGGGGACCAUUGCCAUUGGUUAGAGGGAAUUCAAUGAUGCAAUGCAAAAAAAGUGGUGAAGCAUGGAUCAUAUUAUUUCUAGAAAUAUCAAGAAGCCGAGAUGAAUGAGAAAGCGUACAUGGGAGAAAUGUGGUGGAGAAUUAUCAACUGAAGUGGAGAUUUGGUCAUCAUCUAAUGAGGAGGAGGACUCUAAUAAACAAGCCUACAUCUUCCUUAGGGUCGCUAAUCCGAUAUCAACAAACUCAUCAAAAGGAUCAAGUAUUUUAUUUUUCCAACUCUAAUAUUUCUAUUAUUGAAUUCAAAAAGCAUUUUGCAAAUGUCGACUCUAAACAUAUGUAGAGAAAUCGAUUCAAAUUCAAAAAGUGGAGGAAAAUGAUAUGUAGGUAAAUGAAUUGGUGGAAGUUCAAAAUGAGGAGGAGGUCCUUAAGGCAAAGACCAAGACUGUAGUAAAGAAGUACAAUAGAGGCAUUGUAUGAGAUUGAGGGUAGAGAUAACUAAAUUAAAUAAAAACCAAAAGAUCUUGAUAACAACCAAAAACACCGAAUUUAGAGCCCUAAUUGAAGGAACUAGGAAUAGUUUAGGAGUAGUGUAGAUUUGCUGUUCCAAAAAAAAUGAAGGAAUUAGGUAUCCGUAAUUUGUUGGCUCCCAUUCUAAGAUUAAGUAGUUAGAGAAAACAAUACAAAGUUCAUGCCCCAUCGUAUCUGCCCGAACUAUGUUUUGACGUUGUCUUUCUCAAGCAAGCAUCCAUUGCAAGGUUAUAACUCUGUUACAUCCUAAACCAAUCAAAGGUAUGAUAUAUAGCAUACUUGGAUCUGUAUGCCCUUUAUUCAUGUGAUGAGAGAAAGGUUUGGGUGUCAAAAUGUAUACCUCACAUGCACGACCAAGUAUGUCAAGCUUCCUCGGGGAUAAAGCUCUAAACCAACACUUUUCCUUUUGUGCUGAAAACAGAUAAACAGUUAUUUUAAUUAUUAUUCACAAGCAUCUGAUAUAUGUAUGUGGUCCAACAUAUCAAGACUUAAAGAGUUACAUAUACCCAUUGAGACGGAUUACUACUUGGGUAGAUUCAUUUAGGAGUUAGUAGUAGAAAUUUUGUUUUUCAUAUUUUAUAAAAACUAACUCUAAUAGUACAUGUCAAUAAAAUCAAUGAUAAAUGGGUGGAUUGAUUUGGGUUAUAUGAAACAUUUAUUUCUUUACUAAAAUUAAAUGUGUAUUAUCCAUCUUGCUUUGGAUCAUAGGUCAGAUCAUUAAAUAAAUGACAUCUACCUUGAAAGUCGGGGUCGUCCUGAACGAAUUUACGAUGAUAUGGCCACAAUCUAAUGCCAGAAUCAUAAAAUCGCCUGUUGCAUAGGAUGUAUUGUCCUGUUGUUGUUUGAAAAGGAGAGAGAUCUCCACCAAUUAUGUGAUUCCAUGACUUGUAAUAACCUAACACUUCUUCUUCUUCAUCCUUCUUCUCUCCAUUUUCAUACACAAAACUCACCCCACACUCCUUUAUAACCUCAUCCUUCAUUAGAAGUUCAUGUCGUUGCGGUGUAACAGUGAUAGUAAUGUGGUCACCAACCUCCAUCUCAUUCUUCCCAAACAUCCAGUGACUUAAUAUUACCCAACAAUUCAGAGUUUCACUAAAUCUGUCCACAUAACGUUCAUAUAUCCACGUACGUUUUUUUGUUAUAUUACUAAUUGUCAUCAUUGGC